UACGUAGGGUGCGAGCGUUGUCCGGAAUUACUGGGCGUAAAGAGCUCGUAGGUGGUUUGUCGCGUUGUUCGUGAAAACUCACAGCUUAACUGUGGGCGUGCGGUCGAUACGGGCAUCACUGGAGUUCGGCAGGGGAGACUGGAAUUCCUGGUGUAGCGGUGAAAUGCGCAGAUAUCAGGAGGAACACCGGUGGCGAAGGCGGAUCUCUGGGCCAUUACUGACGCUGAGGAGCGAAAGCGUGGGGAGCGAACAGG
rnacentral:rRNA from 1 species